rnacentral:rRNA from 1 species
GACGAACCGUCCAAACGUUAUUCGGAAUUACUGGGCUUAAAGGGUGCGUAGGCGGCCUGACAAGUUGGGUGUGAAAUACCUCGGCUCAACCGAGGAAUGGCGCUCAAAACUGUAAGGCUAGAGGAAGAUAGAGGUGAGCGGAACUUAAGGUGGAGCGGUGAAAUGCGUUGAUAUCUUAAGGAACACCCGUGGCGAAAGCGGCUCACUGGAUCUUUUCUGACGCUGAUGCACGAAAGCUAGGGGAGCAAACAGG